rnacentral:misc_RNA from 1 species
CCCGCAGGAAUGAAACUUUGGGGGCCCCCCGGCCCGGGAGGGCCCCCGGGGGGCCCCCCCCCAAACACCCAAGCCGAGGCUUGGGGUGAAAAUGACGCUCGAAACAGGCAUGCCCCGCCGAAAUACCCGCGGGCGCCAAUGUGCUUACAAAGAUUUGAUGAUUCCAGUGAAUUUCUGCAAUUCACCAUUAUCUUAUCGCAUUUCGCUGCUUCUUCAUGCGAUGCCAGAACCAAGAGAUCCGUUGUUGAAAGUUUUGAUUAUUUGUCUUUCAGGCUCAGAGAUACUGGAAAAAAUAAGAGUUUUGAACCUCCGGCGGGCGUGCCCGCCGAAGCAACGACAGAGGUUAUGUUCACAGGGUGGAGUUUUUCAACUCAGUAAUGAUCCUCUCUCCCUGCGGAGGGAUCAUUACUGAGUUGAAAAACUCCAACCCCUGUGAACAUAACCUCUGUCGUUGCUUCGGCGGGCACGCCCGCCGGAGGUUCAAAACUCUUAUUUUUUCCAGUAUCUCUGAGCCUGAAAGACAAAUAAUCAAAACUUUCAACAACGGAUCUCUUGGUUCUGGCAUCGAUGAAGAACGCAGCGAAAUGCGAUAAGUAAUGUGAAUUGCAGAAUUCAGUGAAUCAUCGAAUCUUUGAACGCACAUUGCGCCCGCCGGUAUUCCGGCGGGCAUGCCUGUUCGAGCGUCAUUUCAACCCUCAAGCCUCGGCUUGGUGUUGGGGCGCCCGGGCCCUCCGCGGCCCGGGGCCCCCAAGUUCAUCGGCGGGCUCGUCGGUACACUGAGCGCAGUAAAACGCGGUAAAACGCGAACCUCGUUCGGAUCGUCCCGGCGUGCUCCAGCCGCUAAACCCCCAAUUUUUUAAAGGUGACCUCGGAUCAGGUGGGUACCGAGGGCAC